UACAGAGGUCUCGAGCGUUAGGCGGAAUCACUGGGCUUAAAGCGUGUGUAGGCGGAUCGGUAAGUACCUUGUGAAAUCCCACAGCUUAACUGUGGAACUGCUUGGUAUACUGCCAGUCUUGAGCCAGCUAGGGGCUACCGGAACAAAUGGUGGAGCGGUGAAGUGCGUAGAUAUCAUUUGGAACGCCAAUGGUGAAAACAGGUAGCUGGGGCUGUGCUGACGCUGAGACACGAAAGCCAGGGGAGCGAACGGG
rnacentral:rRNA from 1 species